AAGGAUCAUAUGGUUCUCAACUCCGAUCACUCAGGUGGAAUGCGAACGGUAUAAUCUUAUCAUGAUGCCUUGAAUUCCAGCAUAAUAGUCAAAUAGAAGUAUGUUUACAAAAAGGGUAAGUCAAGGCAUCAUGAUAAGAUUAUACCGUUCGCAUUCCACCUGAGAGGGUAAGUCAAGGCAUCAUGAUAAGAUUAUACCGUUCGCAUUCCACCUGAGUGAUCGGAGUUGAGAACCAUAUGAUCCUUCUCGACUGGAUUAAAAGGAAGCUCUACGCAAUGAAUCAGGUCUCUUAUUACCUUUUUCCUUUUGUCUCGUUAAUGAUCAUCGCAAGUUAGCGGAGUCAUUGAUUACUGAUUUCUGUUGUAAGCCUCGCCAUUGAUGCUGUCACCUGCUUCUGCUGUUUCUUUCUUACAGGUAGUACUAAUCGGUGGAAGAGAGGAGGUCGGUGGAGGUGCACUCAAUCUGUUCUUUUCUCUCCAGAGAACCAUCUUGCAAUCAGGUCGGCGGUAGGUGAGCAUGGAGGCAUCCACGCGACGCGCUAUGAUACGGGAGGAGACCCAUUGGAUUCCACCGACAGCAGUCGGCCGACACCGGUCGACCGACACAGCUCCCCUAUUCCCUCGUAUUUUAUUUUGCCCCCAUCCAUUACAUUAUCAUACCAAUAAUUGAGCUCCCCAAGAUUUACAGAAGAUCCUGUAAAUUUGAUCUCUCUCUCUCUCUCUCUCUCUCGUCAACAAAAAGUAGAUCCGGAAAUGUCACUAUGCUGCUACAUCCAGUAUGCCCCUCUCUUCAGUACAUGCAAUCUAUCAGCGGUUGGUCAACCACAUAGUAUGGAACAAGAAAGCAUAUCUACGCUUUCGACAUUGGGUUAUUUCUUGCUGCUCUCUUUCUUUUUGUUUGUUCAUUUGGGUAUCUCACUUUUGGUUGAAGCAAUGCUCGAGUGAGCGAGCUGCAGUCACAGCUGCAGGCGGAGCAGAGUGAAAACUCCCUCCCACCUCUUCUUCACCUUCAAAUUUUGAUCUACUCCCCCUACCGACAUGUUGGUGAGGGGUGUGGUGAGCUCUCAAAGUUGAAGAAAGCAACCUUCCAACCACCGCUAAGCGCCACGUAACUAUCCUUUCUCCUCCAUAUGCUCCCUCUCUUUCCCCUCCCCAGUUACUCCUCCU
rnacentral:lncRNA from 1 species